rnacentral:rRNA from 1 species
GGAGCCGUAGCGAAAGCGAGUUUUAACUGAGCGUUCAGUUACUUGACGUAGACCCGAAACCGGGCGAACUACCCAUGAGCAGGAUGAAGCGAAAGUAAAAUUUCGUGGAGGUCCGAACCCACGAGCGUUGAAAAGCUCGGGGAUGACUUGUGGGUAGCGGUGAAAUUCCAAUCGAGCCCGGAGAUAGCUGGUUCUCCCCGAAAUAGCUUUAGGGCUAGCCUCAAGGUGAGAGAUACGGAGGUAGAGCACUGAAUGUCCUAGGGGGUAUUGCACCUACCGAAGACUAUCAAACUCCGAAUGCCGUCAUCUUAUACUUGGGAGUCAGACUGUGGGUGAUAAGAUUCAUAGUCGAAAGGGCAACAGCCCAGAUCGUCAGCUAAGGUCCCUAAAUGUAAGUUAAGUGGUAAAGGAUGUGGGAUUGCACAGACAACCAGGAUGUUGGCUUAGAAGCAGCCACUCAUUCAAAGAGUGCGUAAUAGCUCACUGGUCGAGUGAUCCUGCGCCGAAGAUUUCCGGGGCUAAAACUUACUACCGAAGCUACGGCAUCAGUAAUGAUGGGUAGGGGAGCUUCCCAUACGGGUUGAAGCAUGACCGUAAGGACAUGUGGACAGUAUGGGAGUGAGAAUGUUGGCAUGAGUAGCGAGAUGUGGGUG